rnacentral:rRNA from 1 species
GAUGAACGCUGGCGGCGUGCCUAAUACAUGCAAGUCGAGCGAACAGACGAGGAGCUUGCUCCUCUGACGUUAGCGGCGGACGGGUGAGUAACACGUGGAUAACCUACCUAUAAGACUGGGAUAACUUCGGGAAACCGGAGCUAAUACCGGAUAAUAUAUUGAACCGCAUGGUUCAAUAGUUAAAUACGGUUUUUCUGUCACUUAUAGAUGUAUCCGCGCCGCAUUAGCUAGUUGGUAAGGUAACGGCUUACCAAGGCAACGAUGCGUAUCCGACCUGAGAGGGUGAGCGGCCACACUGGAACUGAGACACGGUCCAGACUCCUACGGGAGGCAGCAGUAGGGAAUCUUCCGAAAAGGGCGAAAGCCUGACGGAGCAAAGCCGCGUGAGUGAUGAAGGUCUUCGGAUCGUAAAACUCUGUUAUUAGGGAAGAACAAAUGUGUAAGUAACUAUGCACGUCUUGACGGUACCUAAGCAGAAAGCCACGGCUAACUACGUG